UACGUAGGGGGCAAGCGUUGUCCGGAUUUAUUGGGCGUAAAGAGCGUGUAGGCGGCCAAGCAGGUCCGCUGUGAAAACUCGAGGCUCAACCUCGAGACGUCGGUGGAAACCGUAUGGCUAGAGUCCGGAAGAGGAGAGUGGAAUUCCUGGUGUAGCGGUGAAAUGCGCAGAUAUCAGGAAGAACACCCGUGGCGAAGGCGGCUCUCUGGGACGGUACUGACGCUGAGACGCGAAAGCGUGGGGAGCGAACAGG
rnacentral:rRNA from 1 species